rnacentral:rRNA from 1 species
UACGGAGGGGGCUAGCGUUGUUCGGAAUUACUGGGCGUAAAGCGCACGUAGGCGGAUCAGAAAGUAAGGGGUGAAAUCCCGAGGCUCAACCUCGGAACUGCCUCUUAAACUCCUGGUCUUGAGUUCGAGAGAGGUGAGUGGAAUUCCAAGUGUAGAGGUGAAAUUCGUAGAUAUUUGGAGGAACACCAGUGGCGAAGGCGGCUCACUGGCUCGAUACUGACGCUGAGGUGCGAAAGUGU